UUUUAUCAUAAGAGAAGGCAGAUCUUCCCAACGGCCUCUUCACAUACCUCAAAUACGUGCUAAGAGGGUAUUGGGGCAUCCAUCAAAUAUGUAACAACAGCAGCAGGUGGCUCAAAUCGGCUCCUCAGAUCUUCCAAGGGGAUAUCAAAGCGCUCGAUUUUGCGGCGGCUGCCUGGCGGUUCUUCCUUGUACACUUCAGCUGAAGGGUUGUUCUUUGCAUGAGCUUUGUUCAUGGUGCUCUUGCUGCUGCAGUGGCCUUUAUCCAAAAGACAAUUCUGUACGCUCACUUCCUAGUUUCCUGCUGCUAAUGAAGAUUUGCUGACUUCUUCCUCUCGUAGUGGGGAAGUGACUCUUCUUCCAGCUGGGGACUCAGCAUGAGUUCUUCUCCCAUCUGAAUCAGCAGUGGCGACCAGCAAUGCAGCGGCAGUCACGGGGGCCCAAUUCUCAGUGCGUUGCCAGUUUCCUGGUUCUGUUUGAGGUAUUUGAAGGCCCUUCUGAAAUGGCAAUUUGGACAGCACCAGAGUGACCUGCAAAAGCAAUUGAAGGAUUGAUUCAAAUCAUGGGAAAAUAUGGGGAGUAGCCAACCAAAAGCAACCUCAGGCCAUGGGCCCCAUAAAAGCUCAGUAAUAUCUAAAGCUAACCUAUCCAGUCCAGGUUGUUUUGGAUUAAAAUAAGAAUAUAAUCACUUGAGUGUGUUUUUUUAAUCCCAUAAGAGAUCAAAUAAGGCCAGGAUUUCUUGCAGAGUAAGCUUGUCAGUGACAUAAACAACUUCCGAAAGUGAGGGGAAACCCCAUUCUAGAGAACACACUUGGGAACAACACUAAUAUGUUUUAUUUAGUUGUUAGAGAAUAGAGCUGUAGAGAAUAAUUGGAAAUGAAAGGUGAAGAAUAAGAAAUACUUUCAUUGUUAAAAACCUGAAAUACUUUCAUUAGUAGACCAUUUAUUUGAUUUUGAAUUUGAUUUUUUAAGAACAAAAAUGCUCCACUCCUGAGAGUUCCUGCUCUGGAACAAUUUGUUGCUAUAAAUGUAUCUGUUGAAAAUAAUGUACAAAUACAAUUGUCCAUAGAGUAAACAAAAAUUGCAUGCAGCCAUGUUGGUCUAUUAGGAAAACAAACUUCCAAAAAUAACAGUAGAGUAAUUUUUAUUAGGAUCAAUUAAAAAGCACAAAGAAGUGAGCAAACUUUCAAAUUUUCUGGCUAUUCCUACUCAGCUGACAAAGACAGACAUGUAUUUUAAGAGUUGUCACUAGCAGUUUAACAUCCAUACACACACCCCUGACUUUCUUGGUUCUUCUUAACUGAAUAAUCUUGAGUAGACUCAGAUCAAUAUUACUGGUGUAAUAUUUUCAGUAUUUUGCCACUCAUGUUUGUCCAGUGGGAAAUCUUUGCUAAGAAGCAGCUGCCUCUAAAAUCUUAGACUGUAGUUAUAUGCUUGCCUUUUCAUCUAAGAAAAUAAAAAUGUGCUCAUAUUUCA